GCCCGCCUAGCUCAAUCGGAUAGAGCGUCAGACUCUUAGGUUUGUGACUGACAGGCGGGAAUCUGAAGGCUGCGAGUUCGACCCUCGCGGUGGGCU